GACGAACGCUGGCGGCGUGCUUAACACAUGCAAGUCGAACGGAAAGGCCCCCUUGUUGGGUACUCGAGUGGCGAACGGGUGGGUAACACGAGAGUAACCUACCCUUGACUUUGGGAUAACUUCAGUAAACGGGGGCUAAUACCGGAUAGGAGCUCCUGCUGCAUGGUGGGGGUUGGAAAGUUUCGGCGGUUUGGGAUGGACUCGCGGCUGAUCAGCUUGUUGGUGGGGUAGUGGCUCACCAAGGCCUUGACGGGUAGCCGGCCUGAGAGGGUGACCGGCCACAUUGGGACUGAGAUACGGCCCAGACUCCUACGGGAGGCAGCAGUGGAGAAUAUUGCACAAUGGGCGGAAGCCUGAUGCAGCAACGCCGCGUGCGGAAUGACGGCCUUCGGGUUGUAAACCGCUUUCGCCUGUGACGAAGCGUGAGUGACGGUAAUGGGUAAAGAAGCACCGGCUAACUACGUG
rnacentral:rRNA from 1 species